GAUGAACGCUGGCGGCGUGCCUAAUACAUGCAAGUCGAGCGAACAGAUGAGGAUCUGGCUCCUCUGACGUUAGCGGCGGACGGGUGAGUAACACGUGGAUAACCUACCUAUAAGACUGGGAUAACUACGGGAAACCGGAGCUAAGACCGGAUAAUAUAUUGCACCGCAUGGUGCAAUAGUGAAAUACGGUUUUGCUGUCACUUAUAGAUGGAUCAGCGCCGAAUUAGCUAGUUGGUAAGGUAACGGCUUACCAAGGCAACGAUGCGUAGCCGACCUGAGAGCGACGAUGGCUACCCUGGCACUGAGAAACGCCAGCGACUCCUACGCGAGGACGCAGUAGGGACUCCUACGCAAUGGGGCAAAGCCUGAUCGAGCACAGUGGGGUGAGUCCUGACGGUCUUAGGCUCGGAAAACUAUGUUAUUCGGGAAGAACAAAUGUGCAUGCAACUAUGACCGUCUUGACGGUACCUAAUCAGAAAGCCCCGGCUAACUACGUG
rnacentral:rRNA from 1 species